rnacentral:rRNA from 1 species
AGAGUUUGAUCAUGGCUCAGGAUGAACGCUAGCGGCAGGCUUAAUACAUGCAAGUCGAGGGGCAACAGGGGUAGCGAUACCUGCUGGCGACCGGCAAACGGGUGCGCAACACGUACAGAACCUUCCUUUAAGCGGGGGGAUAGCCCAGAGAAAUUUGGAUUAAUACCCCAUAGUAUUAUUGUUUGGCAUCAAAUAAUAAUUAAAGAUUUAUCACUUAGAGAUGGCUGUGCGUCUGAUUAGGUAGUUGGUUGGGGUAAUGGCCCACCAAGCCUUCGAUCAGUAACUGGUGUGAGAGCACGACCAGUCACACGGGCACUGAGACACGGGCCCGACUCCUACGGGAGGCAGCAGUAAGGAAUAUUGGUCAAUGGAGGCAACUCUGAACCAGCCAUGCCGCGUGAAGGAUGAAGGUCCUCUGGAUUGUAAACUUCUUUUAUGUGGGAAGAAAUGCAUUCUUUAUAGAGUGUUUGACGGUACCAUAGGAAUAAGCACCGGCUAACUCCGUGCCAGCAGCCGCGGUAAUACGGAGGGUGCGAGCGUUAUCCGGAUUCACUGGGUUUAAAGGGUGCGUAGGUGGGGAAGUAAGUCAGUGGUGAAAUCUCCGUGCUUAACAUGGAAACUGCCAUUGAUACUAUUUUUUCUUGAAUUUUCCGGAGGUUAGCGGAAUAUGUCAUGUAGCGGUGAAAUGCUUAGAUAUGACAUAGAACACCAAUUGCGAAGGCAGCUAACUACAGGGAUAUUGACACUGAGGCACGAAAGCGUGGGGAUCAAACAGGAUUAGAUACCCCAGUAGUCC